AACGAACGCUGGCGGCAGGCCUAACACAUGCAAGUCGAGCGCCCCGCAAGGGGAGCGGCGGACGGGUGAGUAACGCGUGGGAAUAUGCCCUUUGCUACGGAAUAGUCUCGGGAAACUGGGGGUAAUACCGUAUACGCCCUUUGGGGGAAAGAUUUAUCGGCGAAGGAUUAGCCCGCGUUGGAUUAGGUAGUUGGUGGGGUAAUGGCCUACCAAGCCGACGAUCCAUAGCUGGUUUGAGAGGAUGAUCAGCCACACUGGGACUGAGACACGGCCCAGACUCCUACGGGAGGCAGCAGUGGGGAAUCUUAGACAAUGGGGGCAACCCUGAUCUAGCCAGGCCGGGUGAGUGAUGAAGGCCUUAGGGUUGUAAAGCUCUUUCAGCUGGGAAGAUAAUGACGGUACCAGCAGAAGAAGCCCCGGCUAACUCCGUG
rnacentral:rRNA from 1 species